rnacentral:rRNA from 1 species
GACGAACGCUGGCGGCGUGCCUAAUACAUGCAAGUCGAACGCUUUUUCUUUCACCGGAGCUUGCUCCAUCGAAAGAAAAAGAGUGGCGAACGGGUGAGUAACACGUGGGUAACCUGCCCAUCAGAAGGGGAUAACACUUGGAAACAGGUGCUAAUACCGUAUAACACUAUUUUCCGCAUGGAAGAAAGUUGAAAGGCGCUUUUGCGUCACUGAUGGAUGGACCCGCGGUGCAUUAGCUAGUUGGUGAGGUAACGGCUCACCAAGGCAACGAUGCAUAGCCGACCUGAGAGGGUGAUCGGCCACACCGGGACUGAGACACGGCCCAGACUCCUACGGGAGGCAGCAGUAGGGAAUCUUCGGCAAUGGACGAAAGUCUGACCGAGCAACGCCGCGUGAGUGAAGAAGGUUUUCGGAUCGUAAAACUCUGUUGUUAGAGAAGAACAAGGAUGAGAAGAGAAUGUUCAUCCCUUGACGGUAUCUAACCAGAAAGCCACGGCUAACUACGUGCCAGCAGCCGCGGAA